CCUACGGGAGGCAGCAGUGAGGAAUAUUGGUCAAUGGGCGUAAGCCUGAACCAGCAAAGUCGCGUGAGGGAUGAAGGUUCUAGGGAUGGUAAACCUCUUUUAUAAGGGAGUAAAGAGUGGGACGUGUCCUAUUUUGUAUGUACCUUAAGAAUAAGGAUCGGCUAACUCCGUGCCAGCAGCCGCGGUAAUACGGAGGAUCCGAGCGUUGUCCGGUUUUAUUGGGUUAAAAGGGUGCGUAGGCGGCCUGAUAAGUCAGUGGUAAAAGCCUGUGGCUCAACCAUGGAAUGGCCGUUGAAACGGGUGGCUUGAGUAUGUGUGAGGCAGGCGGAAUGCGUGGUGUAGCGGUGAAAUGCGUAGAUAUCAUGCAGAACCCCGAUUGCGAAGGCAGCCUGCCAAGCCAUAACUGACGCUGAUGCACGAAAGCGUGGGGAUCAAACAGGAUUAGAUACCCCAGUAGUC
rnacentral:rRNA from 1 species